rnacentral:tRNA from 1 species
GGGCGUGUAGCUCAGCUGGUUAGAGCAGGGGACUCAUAAUCCCUCACUCCUCGUACGUUUCCGUACGCGUCUG